rnacentral:rRNA from 1 species
UACAGAGGUCCCAAGCGUUGUUCGGAUUUACUGGGCGUAAAGGGUGCGUAGGUGGUCGGGUAAGUCUGAUGUGAAAUCUCCGGGCCUAACCCGGAAACUGCAUCGGAUACUAUUCGGCUAGAGGGUUGGAGGGGGGACUGGAAUACUUGGUGUAGCAGUGAAAUGCGUAGAUAUCAAGUGGAACACCAGUGGCGAAGGCGAGUCCCUGGACAACUCCUGACACUGAGGCACGAAAGCUAGGGGAGCAAACAGG